rnacentral:rRNA from 1 species
GACGAACCGUGCGAACGUUGUUCGGAAUCACUGGGCUUAAAGGGCGCGUAGGCGGGCCGCAAAGUCAGAGGUGAAAUCCCCCGGCUCAACCGGGGAACGGCCUUUGAUACUGGCGGUCUGGAGUAGGGUAGGGGCAUGCGGAACUGAUGGUGGAGCGGUGAAAUGUGUUGAUAUCAUCAGGAACUCCGGUGGCGAAAGCGGCGUGCUGGACCCUUACUGACGCUGAGGCGCGAAAGCCAGGGGAGCAAACGGG